rnacentral:rRNA from 1 species
GAUGAACGCUGGCGGCGUGCCUAAUACAUGCAAGUCGAGCGAACGGACGAGAAGCUUGCUUCUCUGAUGUUAGCGGCGGACGGGUGAGUAACACGUGGAUAACCUACCUAUAAGACUGGGAUAACUUCGGGAAACCGGAGCUAAUACCGGAUAAUAUUUUGAACCGCAUGGUUCAAAAGUGAAAGACGGUCUUGCUGUCACUUAUAGAUGGAUCCGCGCUGCAUUAGCUAGUUGGUAAGGUAACGGCUUACCAAGGCAACGAUGCAUAGCCGACCUGAGAGGUGAUUGGCCCCACUGGAAAUGGGAAACCGGCCCAGACCCUAAGGGAGGGAGGAGGGGGGAAUAUUGCCGAAAGGGGGGAAGCCUGACCGGGGCAAGCCGCGUGUGGGAAGAAGGUCUUCCGGUUGUAAAACCCUUUUAUUUGGGGAAAAAAAAAUUGAGAAAAAACGUUGCACUUUUGGCGGGAACCAAAGAAGAAACCCCGGCUAACUUCGGG